ACAAGCGCCAUUUCUGAACUUGACCUCUUUGGCAAUGUGCAGUGCAGAGUCAGCUUGCACAAGUAUAAUUCUAAUGUAUAUAAAAUAAAACUCAAAUGAAAUGUUAUUACUUAAGUGAAUGUUUUAUUUCGUAUCAUGGCAUUACCUCUAGGAAAGGCCGAAUGGAGGUCAAGUCCAACAAGACUAUGGCUCCAGAAACACUGAGGAACGGAAAACAACAACUCAAAGUCUAGUACGAGAAAGCGCCGUUUACAUGUAGAUCAAUCAGACCGAUGAUAUUGCAUUGCAUCAGAAACUUCACUAGACUCUGUUGCCGUCUCGUUAAUCGCAUGCUGUGAUUAUACUGGUGUUGUUUCCCGUGACAUAUCUUGCGAUAUUUUUACCAAUAUAAUUGUUACAGUCAAAUACUUUAAUUUAUGUUUGGUCUAUGUUUUACCUUUAUAUAAUUAUGUACAUGUGUUCUUUGUUGAUAUAGAAAAUAUUAUUAUCAUUGUUGAUUAUCCUCAUGUUUAAUUGA